AUUGAACGCUGGCGGCAUGCCUUACGCAUGCAAGUCGAACGGCAGCACGGGAGCAAUCCUGGUGGCGAGUGGCGAACGGGUGAGUAAUAUAUCGGAACGUGCCCAGUAGUGGGGGAUAACUGCUCGAAAGAGCAGCUAAUACCGCAUACGACCUGAGGGUGAAAGGGGGGGAUCGCAAGACCUCUCGCUAUUGGAGCGGCCGAUAUCAGAUUAGCUAGUUGGUGGGGUAAAGGCCUACCAAGGCAACGAUCUGUAGUUGGUCUGAGAGGACGACCAGCCACACUGGGACUGAGACACGGCCCAGACUCCUACGGGAGGCAGCAGUGGGGAAGUUUGGACAAUGGGCGCAAGCCUGAUCCAGCAAUGCCGCGUGCAGGAAGAAGGCCUUCGGGUUGUAAACUGCUUUUGUCAGGGAAGAAAUCCUCUAGGUUAAUACCCUCGGGGGGAUGACGGUACCUGAAGAAUAAGCACCGGCUAACUACGUGCCAGCCGCCGCAGUAAUAC
rnacentral:rRNA from 1 species